CCGAUAGCGUAUAUUAAAGUUGUUGCAGUUAAAAAGCUCGUAGUUGAAUUUCGGGGUCAGUAGAUUGGUCAUGCCACUGGUAUGUACUGGUCUCACUGAUUCCUCCUUCCUGAUGAGCCGUAAUGCCAUUAAUUUGGUGUUGCGAGGAAUCUGGACUGUUACUUUGAAAAAAUUAGAGUGUUUAAAGCAGGCUAACGCUUGAAUACAUUAGCAUGGAAUAAUGAAAUAGGACGUUCGAUCUUAUUUUGUUGGUUUCUAAGAUUGACGUAAUGAUUAAUAGGGAUAGUUGGGGGCAUUAGUAUUCAAUUGUCAGAGGUGAAAUUCUUGGAUUUAUUGAAGACUAACUACUGCGAAAGCAUUUGCCAAGGAUGUUUUCAUUAAUCAAGAACGAAAGUUAGGGGAUCGAAGACGAUCAGAUACCGUCGUAGUCUUAACCAUAAACUAUGCCGACUAGGGAUCGGAUGAUGUUAAUUUUUUAAUGACUCAUUCGGCGCCUUACG
rnacentral:rRNA from 1 species